rnacentral:rRNA from 1 species
AACGAACGCUGGCGGCGUGCCUAACACAUGCAAGUCGAACGGAUUGAAGGGGCUUGCUCCUUCAGUUAGUGGCGCACGGGUGAGUCACGCGUAGAUAAUCUGCCUGAUGAUCUGGGAUAACAGUUCGAAAGGACUGCUAAUACCGGAUAAGCCCACGUGGUCUUUGGACCGUGCGGGAAAAGGGGGGGACCUUCGGGCCUUCUGUCAUCAGAUGAGUCUGCGUACCAUUAGCUAGUUGGUAGGGUAAUGGCCUACCAAGGCUACGAUGGUUAGCUGGUUUGAGAGAAUGAUCAGCCACACUGGAACUGAGACACGGUCCAGACUCCUACGGGAGGCAGCAGUGGGGAAUUUUGCGCAAUGGGCGAAAGCCUGACGCAGCAACGCCGCGUGAGUGAUGAAGGCUUUCGGGUCGUAAAGCUCUGUCGAGGGGAAAGAAGUGUAUUGUGGUUAAUACCCGCGAUACUUGACGGUACCCCUAAAGGAAGCACCGGCUAACUCCGUGCCAGCAGCCGCCGUAACAC